rnacentral:rRNA from 1 species
CUACGGGGCGCUGCAGUCGAGAAUCUUUCGCAAUGGGGGAAACCCUGACGAAGCGACGCCGCGUGGAGGAUGACGGCCUUAGGGUUGUAAACUUCUGUUUCAUAGGACGAAAAGUGUGGGAUCUAAUAUAUCCUAUACCUGACGGUACUGUGAGAGAAAGCCCCGGCUAAACUCGUGCCAGCAGCCGCGGUAAUACGAGUGGGGCAAGCGUUAUUCGGAUUUACUGGGUGUAAAGGGCGUGUAGGUGGUUAAGUGUGUUAGAUGUGAAAUCCCUCGGUUUACCCGAGGAACUGCAUCUAAAACUACUUGACUUGAGUGUUGGAGAGGUAAGCGGAAUUCCUGGUGUAGCGGUGAAAUGCGUAGAUAUCAGGAGGAACGCCGGUGGCGAAAGCGGCUUACUGGCCAAACACUGACACUAAGGCGCGAAAGCCAGGGGAGCGAACGGGAUUAGAUACCCCCGUAGUC